rnacentral:pre_miRNA from 1 species
CCAAUACUCCCUCCGUUCGAAAAUACUUGUCCUAGAGAUGAAUGUAUCUAGGCUUAUUUUAGUUAUAGAUACAUUCAUUAUAUUCAUUUUUAGGACAAGUAUUUUCGAACGAAGAGAGUAUAUC